AAUGACCAGCAAAAGCAAACAAAAGGGAAAUCAUCAAACAAAAUGAAUAAGAGUAGUCACUACUCACCCAUGUGUGAGCAACUUCUGUUUGUCCCUCCAUUAUAAAUACUCCCCAAACUCUCCCAUUCAACUUAUCCUUAUCAGCUAUAGCUACCUUUCAUUCCUCCAACACUCAUUUCUCUACCUUGUACUAUCAUUAUAUUCUUAAAGCAAUUCCAAAAAUUCUUCAUUUUCAACUUGCCAAUCUAUUGAUCAACAAUAUGAGGUACACUUCAGCUACCAGAAAAUACCAUGGUGGUCAUUAUAAGUUUCAUCAUCAAGAUGCAUGGAAUCCCCAUAACAGUUUUCAUGAUGAAGACAAUAUUAGUGAAGAAAGAAGCAACUAUUCAUCAUUAUCAUCAAACAUCAAGUUUUAAGGACUUUUCGGUGCUAUCCUACCUGAGCUUUAUUACUCAUUUCGCUUUUUAAUACUUUUUCUUUUUUUCUUGACCUUGUAAGACCUUUUCUUGACCUUGUAAGACCUAGUUUAAACCAAUUAAUCUUAAUCUCUAGCCGAACCAUGUUAUCUUUCUUGAAACCAUGGUUUGGCUUGUAAGGUGAUAGGGUUCAGAAUCUCCUUCCAACUCAUCAUCUCCUCUUCUAUCUAUCCCUCCUGAGCUGAUUAUCAUGUAUUUAUAUCAUGUAUAUAUGAAAAAUGUAUAAUGAUGUUUUAUGAGAAUUAAUAAUAACCCUCAUUUCAAGCAGACCUUGUAUUUUUAAAAAAAAUACAUUAGUAUAUACUUCCUUCAA